rnacentral:rRNA from 2 species
UCUGGUGGCGAUAGCGAAGAGGUCACACCCGUUCCCAUACCGAACACGGAAGUUAAGCUCUUCAGCGCCGAUGGUAGUUGGGGGUUUCCCCCUGUGAGAGUAGGACGUUGCCAGGC